UUCUCUGGAAUGUGAAGACCAUAGGCAUGUGGCCCAGUUCCUUUCAGUUCACCCCGGAGAACCAUCAAAUUCUUCUCCAUGUCACUUGGUCAAAAAGGAAAAAUGAGGAAGCUGGGUAAUGCUGAUAAGGCUUUUGAAUAGGAGAUAAAGUACCUGAUGAAGAGCAUGUCUACACACCACCUCUUUGGAGAAAGAGGCAGAGUGAAAAGCCACAAACUCUUAGAAAAUAUCAGUUAACAUAAGUGGGAAAGUAAAAAGCGUUCGAAAGCACAGUCAGCCUAAGGAACUUGGUUUCAGCUACGAAGAUUUGAAUGGAAGAACGCAAUUUUUACAUUCAUCAGGUAAUUCCAUUUAAAAAUCUGUGCCUAAUUUAGUAAAAAGGCAAACUAGAACUAUAUUUGGGGCACAUUUUAUAUAUCUUUAUAUGCAGAUUUACUUUGGCCAUAAAGCUCAAGUAGGAGCCUUACCAAGUGGCAAACAUACUAACACCUUUUUCCUACUGAGUUUUUUGACUAAACUUCUGUCUCAAAUUUGUAUUCCAAGAAUAGGAGGAGAUUUAUUUUUUUUUUAAAUCCUUCAUCCAGCAGUAGAAUUGAUGCAGGAAUGUUUCUGGGUACUCUCAGGACAUUCAUCUUCUGAGCAAUCUGCAAGAUUUGAAUUAUUAUAAGUUUUAAAAUUUCUUUUCAGUUAAUUUAAUUCUCCUAAGUUUUAGCAGCUUUUUACAGUUGGCAGUUACUGAAGCUGCAGUUCAGCUACUCCGGUACACUUCACAAAGUCAAGCCUUUAAAAUCUGUGGAUGCUUUCUUGUCUGCUAUUGUACCUCAUGCCAGCAACUACAGAUGAUAAGUCAUUAAAUACAAGACAGAGGGUUGUGAGCAAAAAAAAAAUUUAUUAAAUAUGAGACUUAUGUCUGACCUGCUUCACCCAAUUUUGUCUCUGUGGCAACAGCCACAAGCAUGUGACAAAACAUUUGGGAUUUUUCUGAAGUUUACAUACUUAAAAUGUCACUUUUCAAGAAUGCAUCAUCUUUUAUUCUUAAGCAGGUUUCAAAAGUGCAGAGCAUGUUUACAGGAAAACGAAUCUUGUGAAUGUAAAGCUUCACCAGAUAAUGCAUUAAAGACCCUCCGAACAGUGGGCACGGCCAAAAGUUGCACACAUCUCUGUUCACUUACCUGGUCUGGCUGUGCUUUGGGAAGGGGCAAGUCAAUCUUCUGAACACAAGUCUAGAAUACUCUGGUAUAAUAAUCACUAAAUCUAUUGCAUGUUCUUUACUUAAAAUGAUCCAGAAGAACUGUUAUAGUUUACUACAAAUAUUUUAACUGUGCAAGAUGGGAAAGACUCAAAAUUAUUCUUACCUUCUAUUGCUACAUAAAAUGUAAUCAUACUGUAGACAAAUUUGCCAUGCUGAUGCAUACUAUCAUUAGAUUGCAGAUUACUGGACUGAAAAUCAUAGCCAAAGUAUAUAUUUUUAUUUAGAAAAUCUCAACUGUCUGUUUCCAUAUCAGUUCAUCUAUUAUUCAACAUUUUAAAGUUUUAUGAAAUUAAUACUUCUUCACCAAUGAAGAAAUUCUGAUGACCUGAUACUCAGAAAUACAAAAUCAUUUACUGUAUCUUAAAGCUCUCCCAAAAGCCAUGUAGUAGUGACAUUAUCUCCUGUGUCCCAGCUCUACUGGUUAACUUGUUGUCCUGGGGUGACUUUAUGAUACUGGUAUCCCCAAUCGUCUGGUUUAUGUUAUAUA